GUUCCUUUAGGCUUCUACAUUACCCUCCUCUCUCCAGCUUCGCGCGCCUAGCCUCCGGCCUUCCCCAGCCAAUCAGCUGCUCGUUCAGCUCUACGUGUGGCGUCACACGUAGCGGUCAAGAUGGCGUCGGUAAUUGGAGCUGAGCUUCGACCUUUUUACUCUAGCGAGGUUAGGGAUGAGAAGAACACAGCUUGGUCUCAGAUGCACGGCUGAGGAUUAAGAUCAGGUUGCUUAGACGCUUGGGAGUAGUCAUCAGCGUCUUCCAGCCACCCAAACGACAACUCAAGAGAGGUUAUCCACUACGGAGAGAGAGAAGACCUCACAGUAGCCCGUACACCCUUCUCGGAGUUGCAAGUCGAGGAAAGGAAUCCGAGCGGUCUCGGCUUGGGGUUACGCCAUGUACAAGUAGGAAAGGAAUAGUGUCACAUAACACCUCUGCACGAGAUUAAAAAGGAAAAAAAAGAUAUCCUGUGAUAAACCAUGUAAAGUUCCUAGCUUGGUGAUUGGUACAGGGCAGACUAUUAGUGGGGCUCUGUCUCCUAAUGAGGUCUUGCACUUGGGCAUGCUGGGUAGGCAUGUAAGGACAGAGCCUGAUAUAUGAGAGGUGAGAGAGGAUGGAUAUCAGCUCCUGGGCCUAAAGGAGCCCUGUGUGGUAUCCUGUUGGGGUUCCUCAGCUGCAAGACAUCGGAAUUUGCCACUGCAGACUCAACUCAUGCCUGCUGUGCGCCUGCUGGCUGGCACAUAUACAGCCUGAAGACAUCUGCUGUUGACCUCCUCCCCCAAUGUGGACUGCACCUCCAGCCAUUCCCCAGAGCUGAGACCUUCGAGAGAUGCCCUGAGUUUACACCUUUAGCCCUGCAGCCGGUUUCCCUUUGACAUCCUCCUAGACUUUGCUCGGACACUUCCUGACUCCUCCCUAAUUCCUUAUGUUAUUCAAAUGUCGUUGUAACCAGAGAUUCAGUAUGUUCUCUUGUAUAUAAUUGCUGAACCCCCCAA